UCCAGAUUGACCUUUGGACGUCAAAACCUUAAUAACUCAGGCCACAGAUAUCCAAAUUGAGUAUUUAUUGCGGCCAUACUUAGAAAACUCAAAGGGGAAAACAGAAAUAUUUUUAGAAUUUCAAAUGGACGUUUAUAGAGUUAGAAACAUCAUUUUGAAAUUGACUCCAGAAACUGUCCCGUUUCUGCCUUUUAUCACUUGCAAGGAAAAUAAACUAUAAAAA
rnacentral:lncRNA from 1 species